rnacentral:rRNA from 1 species
GAUGAACGCUAGCGGCAGGCCUAAUACAUGCAAGUUGAACGGCUCCGGCACUUCGGUGUUGGGGUAGUGGCGCACGGGUGCGUAACGCGUACACAACAUACCCUUGACUGGGGGAUAGCGGUGGGAAACUGCCAGUAAUACCCCAUGGCCUUGCGAGGUGGCAUUAUUUUGCAAGGAAAGUUACGGCGGUUGAGGAUUGGUGUGCGUCCGAUUAGCUAGUUGGCGGGGUAACGGCCCACCAAGGCGACGAUCGGUAGGGGGUGUGAGAGCAUGGCCCCCCACACGGGUACUGAGACACGGACCCGACUCCUACGGGAGGCAGCAGUAAGGAAUAUUGGACAAUGGGCGGAAGCCUGAUCCAGCCAUGCCGCGUGAAGGAAGAAGGCGCUCAGCGUUGUAAACUUCUUUUGAAUGGGAACAAUAACCUCCACGAGUUGGGGGCUUGAGGGUACCAUUAGAAUAAGCACCGGCUAACUCCGUG